rfam:Ornithorhynchus anatinus chromosome X5, whole genome shotgun sequence.
CUCCUCUCAGGAUUACACCUGGAGAGUUUGCAGUACUCUACUAGGCUUGGCUACAGGAGGGAGAGUCAAGCAGAAGCUAACACAUUCCAUUCCUAGCUUGGGAAGUGGCUAGCGAGUGGAAGACAAUCUCCUAUAAGU